rnacentral:tRNA from 1 species
ACCCGGUAGCCGAUCCGGGUGGGCUUGCCGUCGGAGUCGACGACCAUCACGUUCGAGACGUGGAUCGGGGC